GAUGAAGAACGCAGCGAAAUGCGAUAAGUAAUGUGAAUUGCAGAAUUCAGUGAAUCAUCGAAUCUUUGAACGCACAUUGCGCCCGCCAGUAUUCUGGCGAGCAUGCCUGUUCGAGCGUCAUUUCAACCAUCAAGCCCCAGGCUUGUGUUGGAGCCCUGCGGCUGCCGCAGCCUCCCAAAACCAGUGGCGGGCUCGCUAUCACACCGAGUGCAGUAGUUUACUCUUCGCUCAGGGCGUGUGGCGGGUGCUAGCCGUGAAACCCCCAACUUCACAAGGUUGACCUCGGAUCAGGUAGGAAUACCCGCUGAACUUAAGCAUAUCAAUAAGCGGAGGA
rnacentral:misc_RNA from 1 species